rnacentral:rRNA from 1 species
UACGAAGGGGGCUAGCGUUGUUCGGAAUUACUGGGCGUAAAGCGCACGUAGGCGGACAUUUAAGUCAGGGGUGAAAUCCCGGGGCUCAACCCCGGAACGGCCUUUGAUACUGGGUGUCUUGAGUUCGGAAGAGGUGAGUGGAAUUGCGAGUGUAGAGGUGAAAUUCGUAGAUAUUGGGAAGAACACCGGUGGCGAAGGCGGCGACCUGGUCCGAUACUGACGCUGAGGCGCGAAAGCGUGGGGAGCAAACAGG